rnacentral:misc_RNA from 1 species
GAAAUGCGAUAAGUAAUGUGAAUUGCAGAAUUCCGUGAAUCAUCGAAUCUUUGAACGCACAUUGCGCCCCCUGGUAUUCCGGGGGGCAUGCCUGUCCGAGCGUCAUUACUGCCCAUCAAGCCCGGCUUGUGUGUUGGGUCGACGUCCCCUCCCUCGCGGGGGGGACGGACCCGAAAGGCAGUGGCGGUGCCGCGCCGGUGCUUCGAGCGUAUGGGGCUUUGUCACCCGCUCCGGAGGCCUGGCCGGCGCCCGUCGUCCCCACACUAUUUUUCUCGGUGGACCUCGGAUCAGGUAGGGAUACCCGCUGAACUUAA